AAAGUGUGUGCAAUUAAUAGUGUGUUACCUUCACUGCUGUGGCAGACCCAAGACUGUUCUGGACUCUGGACUCCAUAAGGCAUGAAAUCAUGACUCACAAAUGGCUCCCGAAUCUGCUGUUCCAGAAAACAGCAGGCGAAGAAAAGCUGCAGAGUCUGUCAAGAG